CGGAUUGCUUCUUUUGGAAAGGAGGAAACCCAGGAGCCACAACUGAAGCGCUGCUUUGCUGCUGGGAUAACUCAGCCGUACGCUGUGCAUCGCCCCAGUUACCCUAAGGAUCACGUAGAAAGCAAAGCGGGUGAAGAGAAACAAACAUGCCAAGUGGUUAUCCCAAAGUCACACGGGAAAUCCAGCAGAGCCAGGCAGAACCCAG
rnacentral:lncRNA from 1 species